rnacentral:lncRNA from 1 species
CGCUCACAUCUGCCUCAGCUUGAGCAGCGGAGGAGGCGGCCGGCGGCACUGCUGGAGCUGCUCCAGGCAUGCAGAUCCCACAGGCACCCUGGCCGGUCGUCUGGGCGGUGCUACAACUGGGCUGGCGGCCAGGAUGGUUCUUAGAAUCCCCGGACAGGCCCUGGAACGCCCCCACCUUCUCCCCAGCCCUGCUCCUGGUGACCGAAGGAGACAACGCCACCUUCACCUGCAGCUUCUCCAACGCCUCGGAGAGCUUCGUGCUGAACUGGUACCGCAUGAGCCCCAGCAACCAGACGGACAAGCUGGCCGCCUUCCCCGAGGACCGCAGCCAGCCCGGCCAGGACUGCCGCUCGCGUCACACGACUGCCCAACGGGCGACUUCCACAUGAGCGUGGUCAGGGCCCGGGGCGCAACGACAGCGGCACCUACCUCUGCGGGGCCAUCUCCCUGGCCCCCAAGGCGCAGAUCAAAGAGAGCCUGCGGGCAGAGCUCAGGGUGACAGAGAGAAGGGCAGAAGUGCCCACAGCCCACCCCAGCCCCUCACCCAGGCCAGCUGGCCAGUUCCAAGCCCUGGUGGUCGGUGUCGUGGGCGGCCUGCUGGGCAGCCUGGUGCUGCUAGUCUGGGUCCUGGCUGUUAUCUGCUCCCGGGCUGCACAAGGGACCAUAGAAGCCAGGCGCACCGGCCAGCCCCUGAAGGAGGACCCCUCGGCCGUGCCUGUGUUCUCUGUGGACUAUGGGGAGCUGGAUUUCCAGUGGCGAGAGAAGACCCCGGAGCCCCCGGCACCCUGUGUCCCUGAGCAGACGGAGUACGCCACCAUCGUCUUUCCUAGUGGGCUGGGCACCUCGUCCCCGGCCCGCAGGGGCUCAGCCGACGGCCCUCGGAGUCCCCGGCCACUGAGGCCUGAGGAUGGACACUGCUCUUGGCCCCUCUGACCGGCUUCCUUGGCCACUGGUGUUCUGCAGACCCUUCACCAUGAGCCCAGGUCAGCUCCUUCCCUCAGGAGAAGCAGGCAGGGUGCAGGCCAUUGCAGGCCGCCCAUGGGCUGAGCUGCCUGGGGGCGAUGGGCGCACCAGUCUGCACCUGCACCAGCCCCGCCGGGCACAGCCCUGCCAGGUACAGCCCCACCACAGAACUCAUGUCUCAGUGCCCACAGUGAGCCCAGGCAGCAGGUGCCACCACCCCCUACAGGGAGGGCCAGAUGCAGUCACUGCUUCAAGUCCUGCCUGCACAGAGCUGCCUGUGCCCAGCUCCCUGAAACUCUGCUGCUGCUGCUGCUGCCUGCGGCCCGGGGCUGAAGGUGCUGCGGCCCUGCCUGCCGCCCCUGGAGCCUCCUGCCUGAACUUGGGGUUGGCUGGAAACUGCCUUGGAGCAGCCAAGGUGCCCCCGGCAGCGGCAUCCCGAGACGCCCUGGAUGCAGGGUCCAAGACUGGGCACAGGGGUAGGAGGUGCAUUGGGCUGGGGGCUCCCUGGGAGUCAUUUGCUCCCCACAGGCCUAGAGAAGUUUUCAGGGAAGGCCAGAAGAGCUCCUGGCUGUGCUGGGCGGGGCAGGAAACCCCUAGACCUUCACACAUGCCCAGGCAGCAUCUCAGGCCCUUUAUGGGGCAGGGAAACUGAGGCAGUAAGAGGGCAGGCAGAGCUGGAGGCCCUUCAGGCCCAGUCAGCACUCUGGCCUCCCGCCACCCCAUGCCACCCCAGCCCCUCACACCACUCAGGAGAGGGAUAUCCUAGGGUCCCAAGGUCAGGAGGGCAGGGCUGGGGCUGACUCAGGCCCCUCCCAGCUGUGGCCACCUGGGUGUUAUGAGGGCAGAGGUGCAGGCACCCAGGGCCCCCCCAUUUGCCCAACGUGGGGGCUGUCCUUGGCACCCAUUCACGAAAUUAUUUAAAGGAGUUUGGCCAGGCUCCCACCAGGGCCUGGGUGGGAAGGUACAGGCGUCCCCUCCUCGGCCUAGUACCCCCACCGCGGCCUGGCCAUUCCUCACAUCCACACACUGCACCCCCACUCCUGGGGCAGGGCCACCAGCUUCCAGGCGGCCAGCGGGCACCUGAGUGGCUGGGACAAGGGACCCCCCCUUCCCUGUGGUUCUGUUAUAUUAUAAUUAUAAUUAAAUAUGAGAGCACG